UGGCCCCGGAACUUCCAGCAGCAAUCGAUGUUUCAGAAGAGCUGAUGGAUAUCCUCUUAGAAGGUUACUUAUAAGGAGAGCUUUUGUUUUAUUCACUUGCCACAACGUUGGGUUCUAUGUUUUGUUUUUGUCGAGAACGUUGUCGGCGAGUCCGGAUUGUAAUGGAAAAUAACUGCAGUAUUCUCGCAACAAGUCUCGAUCAUCUCUGCGUUGAAGGGAAUGUUGUUAAAUUUGCAGUUCAGUGUUCUUCACCCCAAAGUGUUUUACUGGAAAAUUGUAUGAUGCUUUCGCUGAUUUUGAGUUGUAAAUGUGAAAAGGCUUGCGGAAAUUCUGCAGGCCGAUGUCUAAAAUCUGUAAAAUAUGCACUUUCCGACAAUAACGGGUUAUAAGAGAUUUUUUUGCGGUUCAAGCGGGUUGAGGUGGCGAAGCAGUUGACGUCUGAUGUUAAUACGCUUCAUAGUUUCUAUAGAUAAUUUAUCCACUUUAACAUAUCCAUGUCAUCACCGCAUUGUAUAAAAUGACCCUCCCACCAUUUCAUAAAUGUUCAGUUUCACAAAUAACAUUUGCCAUCACGAUUAUAGAAAUAUGCGGUUACAAGCAAUGCUGUGGACCGCUUGGGAGGGAGUCUUACAAAAUCAAAGUUGUCAAGGCUACUUAAGUAAGAUGUUUUUAUCACAAGGAAACAAAUCUUGAAAAACGACUAACAAUUACACUUUUAAAAUCAGCUGAACGACCUGAAUUCAAAUAGCAUAAUGGUUAGUAAAUUAACUUCGUGGGAGUGUUCGCGUCGACCACUUCGCGUGGAUCUUGGGAAAACGGAAGGAACACUUCACAGGAGGAAGAAGGAAAAGGCUAAAGUGGAAAGAUAUAUGAUAAACAACAUUCACAGUAGAUACAAAGAAACACAAUAGAAUCAAUGAAAACCACACACAAAGACAGACAAACAACCAACGACAUCACUGUAGGAGUUCCUCAGGGAAGUGUCCUAGGACCAACCAUCUUCAGCAGUUUCAUCAAUGACCCUCCUUCCGUAAAAAGGUCAGCGGGAGGUGGGGGGGGGGAAUGUUCGCACCAUUUGUGUCUCGUCAGAUAGUGAGGCAGUUCAUACCUGAUGAACCAUCAAUAACUCUCUGAGACGUGAGCCAAGAUAUCAGCUUUUAUUGACUGGAAGAAGGAACAAGCAGUAAUUGACCACCAUGCUACAUCCUGGAGACUGAGAGGCAGCACUCAGGCCCCAAUCGCCUUUAUACCGGGGUCAGUGGAAGGAGCCACAGGAGCUGUCAGCACGGGGAGCGUGUCCAGACAGGUAUAUGUAGUUCACCACAAUACCCAAGUGCAGCAGGACCUCGACAAUACCCAGGCUUGGGCUGACAAGUGACAAGUAACAUUCAAGCCACGCAAGUUCCAGGCAAUGGCCAUCUCCAACAAGAGAGGCUCUAACCAUCGUCCCUUAACAUUCAGUUAUAUCACCAUCACUGAAUCCCCUACUAUCAACAUCGUGGGGGUUACCAUUGACAGGAAACUGAGCAGGUCUAGCCAUAUAAACACUGUGGCUACCAGAGCAGGUUAAAGGCUAGGAAUCCUGCAGCAUGUAACUCACCUCCUGACUCCCCAAAGCCUGUCCAUCAUCUACAAGACUCGGGUCAGGAGGGUAAUGGAAUACUCGCCACUCGCCUGGAUGAGUGCAGCUCCAUCAACACUUGAGAAGUUUGACACCCCAGCAUAAGGCAGCCACUUGACUGGUACCCCUUCCACAAGCAUCCAAUCCCUCCACCAUGAAUGAACAAUUGUGUAUUAUCUACAAAGUGCAGUGCAACAACACACUAAAGUUCCUAAGGUAGAUCUUCCAGACCCAUGGCCACCACCGUCAUGAAGAACGAGAACAGCAGAUACCUGGGAACACCACCACUUGGAAAUCCCCUCCAAGUCACUCACCAUCCUGACUUGGAAACAUAUCGCCGUUCCUUCAUUGUCGCUGUGUCAAAAUUCCCUCCCUAACUGCACUGUGGGUGCACUUACACCUCAGGGACAGCAGUGGUUCAAGAAGGCAUCUCAUCACCACCUUCUGAAGGGCAACUAGGGAUGGUCAAUAAAUGGUGGCCUAGCUGGCAAUGCCCACAUCCCAUAAAUUAAUUUAAAAAAUCAGCUCAUGGUGGUCCACACAGAAAACUACCUUCUCCUUUCAUGUUAGUUAAGUAGGGCACUUUAAUUAAAUAAUCCAGAAUGGAAAAAAAAUGCAUAUUAGUAACAGUGACCAGGUAACUUUUGGAUUGCUGUUAAAAGCCCAUUUGGUUCAUUAGUAUCUAAUGGAACAAAAUCAACUGUUCACAACUGGCCUGUGGUGAUUCCUCAGCCAGAACAAUGUGGUUGGCUCUUAUUUGCUCUGAAAUCACUCAUCAAGCUACUGAAUUGAAGAGGAAGUAGGGAAAGGCAACAAAUGUCAGGAUUGCCAGCAAUAUUGACAUAUUGUGAGUGAUUGAAAAUAAUGCAUCUUGAAAGGACCUGCCUUAAAGCAACCUUUCAUAAAAUUCACAAUUCAUAUGCCAACACAUAAUGUAGUAAUAUUGUAUGUGCAUUGCACUCCAUUCUGAAACUGGGCAUCCCUGACAUCAAUUAAACAGAAUUUUAGUAGUAGAGUUUCACUUGUGCACAUCGCAUCUUUCAUUAGGUGCACAUACAUUUCUACCCAGUCUGUUUUAUUUGGAUUUAUUUGGAGAUGCAGCGCAGAAUAGGCCCUUUUGCCCUUCAGGCUGUGCCACCCAGCAACCCCGACAACUCCUGAUUUAACCUAUUCACAGGACAAUUUACAAUGACCAAAGAACCUACUAGCUAGUAUUUGGACGGCGGGAGGAAAGUGGAGCACAUGUAGAAAGCCCAUGGGGAGGAUGUAUGGGCUUCUUACAGAUGUCAUUGAAUUGAACUCCAAACUCCGAUGCCCCGAGCUGUAAUAGCAUCGUGCUAACUGCUACACUACCCUGGUGUUACUGGUAGAUUGGCAAAUGUUGAUAAAGGCAAAUAAACUUGUUUUAAAGUGCUUGGGAUCCUCCUUAUCCAUCUGACAAGCUACAUUAUGGUUAACAAUACAUGUGACUACAGCUCUCCUCAAAGCCAUGUAUUAGGAGCUUAUUGACAAGGGCUUGGGCUAGUGACCACCUGAAUAAUGAAGUGGGAGUAUGAACUGAGGGUAAACUUCAAAAAUAAAAUAGUUUUUGUCUAUGAAAAACUAAAUAUGAACAAAAAUUGUAUUCUCUUCAGUUUAAAACUGUUUUAUUACACCAUCAAUACUUAGAAGAUUAUUUCAGUUUAUGAGAACCCUAGCCAAAUCAAAUGACCUUGUAUUUGAAUUAGAUGAUAGAGUACAGCUACCACCCAUUUAUUCCAACUAAUCCACAAGCCUCCUCUGUUUUCCCGUUCCCCUCAUCCUUUCACCAUUAUAAUUUCAUAUUCCAAUUAUUCCUAGGUGUUUUUGCUGAAGUUCUGUAUGUAGUGCGCUAUGUUAAUGGAGUCUCUGAAAUUAGAAAAAUCUUUUGAGGAAAAAUAUUUCAAUAAAGAGCAUUUGGUUCUUUCAAUCACUCAGACACAGAAGGGAGUAAUGUACUGAUAUUUCUGAUUUUGGAUAAGACCAUCACAAUCAAGCAUUUAGAUGUCACAGUUCUUCAUCAUGCAUUGACAUCGUCCAAUUCCAGUAUAUUAUUCUGAAAGUCUUUGUAAUAAUUGGAGUUUUAUGUUUGCACUUGUAACUGUUAUGGUUGGGUGAAAUGUUCUUUACUGAAAAGCAAAGUAUUUGUAUAUAAAACUGGAAAAGACACUGUACAAAGUAAAAUGCUGGUGUUUGGUUGUUAGGAGAUGUCAGUUAUGAUACCACAUGAGCUUCAGUUACAUGAUUAAGCUUCAAUAAGUAUUUAAUUACCGAUAUAUACAGUAUAUUAUGAUAUAAUAAGAUUAUAAAAGCUGCUACAUUAAUACAUUAUUUCUUCCAUUUACAUAUUAGCAAUCUUAUCAUCUUCCAUUCCAGCAUCAUAAUUUCCAUGCACUACAUUUGAUUGGGACUGUUCAUUUUCUUACCUCCUUUAUCUUGUGACUUCAACCAGUAAUUGCAUAAUCCAGGCAGAUAAAGCAUUUCCAAUUUCUCUCAGAAGCAUAGAUGGCUCUCCAAAAUUCACACGUAAAACUCACUCAAUGUUCCAAACUCAAAUAUGCCUCCUGGCACUGGUCCCUGUGUAAUACUAUUAAAUACAGACCUCUUGCACAAAUAAGACCCUUGAACCAGCACCCUCUGUCUUCUACGCACAAGCCAGUUCUGAAUCCAAACAGCCAUCUUAACCUUCUGGGUUAGCCUCCCAUCAGGGAUUUUAUCAAAUGCCUUACUGAAAUCAUGUAGACAACAUCUGUGGCCCUACCAUCAUCAAUCUCUCUCAUCACCUUGUCAAAAAACACAAUCAAGUUGGUAAGGCGCGACCUGCCCCACUCAAGGACAUACUAACUCUUCCUAAUUAGACCAUGGGUUUCCAAAUGCUCAUAUAUCCUAACUCUAACAAUUUUCUCCAGCAAUUUCCCUACAAUUGAAAUGAGACUCGCAGGUCUACAGGUCCCAGGAUUUUCCCUUGUUCCCUUCUUGAAUAGAGGUACAACAUUAGCCACUCACCAGUCCUCUGGGCCCUUGCCUGCCCUUCCAAUCAACUUUGGACAGCUCUUCUUUCAUGCCUCUGUUGUUACUUUUACUCAACUGUAAUAAAAAUACCCUCGUUUGCUGAGCCACAAGCUGUUCUAAAACCUAUAUUGGUUGAUAUUCUACAAAUUUCUUUCCUUGGGAUUCAGAACCAAACUGGUUUUUCCUGGACUACAUAUUUAUUAGGUCCCUGAUGAUCACCGUGAUAUUGCCUUUCUCCUGUUGUAAUUUAUACUGACAUCUUGGGUACUAUUUGGAGGCCUGUAUAUCUCUUUAAUUCAGGGUCUUUUUACCCAUGUAGUUUACUGACUCUAUCAACAAGGAUUCUGCAUCAUCUGAUCCUAUGACACCUUGUGAUAAGGAUUUAAUUUCAUUUAAUACUAAUAGAGCCAUCUCACCCCAUCAGCCCAAUGCCUUUUCUUCCCCAAGGAUGUGUAACCUUGGAUGUUUAGUUCACAGCUAUUGCCUUCUUUCAGACAUGACUGCACUAUUGUCACAAGAAUUCAACUCCACUUCUCCCACACUAAUCUUUGAGUCACAGAGUUAACUCUUAAUCUGUGUCAAUAUGUGCAUGGCUUGGGCAACAAUCCAAAGUUAUUACCUUUUUUUGUUCUUUUUUAAAUGUAGUCCAUAACUGCUCAUAAUCCCUCCGCAUAACCUCUUUCCUUGUUCUGCUUGUAUCGUUGGUACCUACAUGGACGAUGACAACUGGAUUCAAAUUCCUCUGCAGGUCAGAUGAGUCAUCCCAAACCUGGGCACCAGGCAGGCAAUACAGCCAUCUAGUCCCUCAAUCUUUGCAACAGAGAACUGUGUCUAUACAAUUCUGUUCCCUAUUACGACCACAUUUUUAUUUAUUUAUAUAUAUGCAAAAUCUCUCCCUCUCUCACUCUCCUCCCCUCCCUCUCCCCCUUCCCCCUCCUUUUGGAUGGCUCCCUAAAUCACAUUGCCACGAUUAGGCUGCUCAUCCUUCUUGCAUUCCCCUCCCUUCCAUCCUCCUGUAUCCACAAGGAACAAGAAUCUCUGAACAUAAAGUAUACUGCAGAUGCUGUAGUCAAAUCAAGAUGUACAAACAAGCUGGAUGAACUCAGCAGGUCGGGCAGCAUCCGUUGAAAUGAGCAGUCAACAUUUCGGGCCGAGACCCUUCCUCAGGACUGAAGAAGGAGGGGGCAGGGGCCCUAUAAAGAAGGUGAGGGGAGGGUGGAAGGUGCCAGGUGAAAAACCAAUCAGAGGAAAGAUCAAGGGUUGAGGGAGGGGAAUCAGGGAAGGGAUAGGCUGGAGAGGUGAAGAAGGAAUGAAAAGGGAAAGCACUAUUGGGUAGUAGAAGAAGGCAGAAUCAUGAGAGAGGUGAUAGGCAGCAAGAGGAGGAGGCAGAGUGAAAGUGGGAUGGUGGAAGGGAGAGGGAGGGAAUUACUGGAAGUUGGAGAGUUCGAUGUUCAUACCAAGGGGCUGGGGGCUACCCAGACGGUACCUCAUAUACCUGCUUAAUUCAACGGAUGCUGCCCAACCUGCUGAGUUCAUCCAGCUUGUUUGUACAUCUUGACAAGAAUCUCUGACCUGUUGGGCAAGCUCAAGGGCUACGGCUUCUCCAGCACCACCUCUUGGAUCCCUGCACCUACCUCAUAUGCAGUCACACCCUCUUGUUCUCACAGACUGAAUCUAAAGGGUGUGACUGCCUCCUGAAACAGUGUCCAGGUAAAUCUCCUCCUCCGUGAUACAUCAGUGUUUGAAGCUCAGCUUCCAGGUCAUCAACUUUGAGCCCAAGUUCCUCAAACCAACAUUUGUUGCAGAUGUGGUCACCAUGAAUCACAAUGAGUCCAUCAGCUACCAUAUCAUACAAAUACAACACACCUUCUUCUGACUUUUAAUGACUGUUGGCAAUCCAAUUUAGGGUGCAUUACUGCCACCAACUGGACUGGAGUGUGGUGUAGAGAAUGGGAAGAUAAAAUUCUUACUAGCUUGCUGUGUCUGCGCCCAGGUAUACUGUAUAUAUCAAGUAAAAACGCACACACUGGCAUGUUCACGUUGCAAUGAGAGAGGGAACAAUGUGCAUGUGUAGACAACAAAUCAAUAUGUAAUGCUAAGGGGGGAAUAUUUUUGGUCUAAAAGAAAUAGAUCCAUAUAUUACACUUCCUCCCCCUUUAGAUUAAUGCAACAUAAAACUGAAUGUAAUAUAUAUAUAUAUAUAUAUAUAUACAUACACACACACACUUUCCCUUUCAUAAAUCCAUAUUCCAAAUAAACAUGCCUUCACAAUAACAGUCCAUAACUAACUUCACAGUUCCAAAAGCUCAGUAUUUUGGGUGUGAUGCACCAUCAAUAACUCACUCUGAGAUGUAAAGGCGAGAUAUCGGCUUUUAUUGACUGGAAGAAGGAACAAUAGUGAGUGACCACCAUACUACAUCCUGAAGACUGAGAGGCCGGGCUCAGACCUCAAUCGCCUUUAUACCGGGGUCUGUGGGAAGAGCCACAGGAGCAGUCAGCAGGGGGCAUGUCCAAACAGGUAUAUGUAGUUCACCACAGGGUGUUUCUUUCAGGAUAGCGCCUCUGGACCUGUGGUGUGGCAUCAGGUUUAUCUUAUCUAAGACAGCGUUCACAGUUUCCAGUGUUAUUUGCUGUCAGUGACAUGAUCAUCACUGAGAGGUGAGUCCAGUGACUGCAAUGUGUCUGUCUUGUUGGAUCCGGUUGACUCAGGUGUGUUUUUCAGUUGAGCAUCCAGUAUCUGGUCCACAUGAUGUCUCCAUGUCUGAUUUCCAACAUCCACUGUGUACAUCAGCGGUCCAGUUCUUGUUGCUAUCCUACUGGGUGUCCAGUUGUUUUCUUGGCCUACCAGCCCAAUCUCAAAGCUGCUUGCUGUUUCACUUGACCACUGGCUGAACUGUUUAUUCUGUACUUCCCUCUGCAGAUCUAGUUUCAGGAAGUCAAGGAGAGACCUGAGAUUCCUGCUCAUGAACAGCAUUGCAGGUGUUUGAUUUGUCGUCGCAUGAACAUAGUUCUGAAACACAAAAAAUAAGUUGUCCACCUAGUGCUGUAGAGAAACGUCCUCCUUGUCCUUGCUUUAAUGGACUUCUUGAAGGUUUGGAUAAACCAUUCAGCUAACCUAUUUGUUGCUGGGUGGUGAGGAACUGACUUGAAAUAUCUGAUGCCAUUUUUCUUUGGGGAGGGAACAAUGCGCAUGCACAGACAACAGAUGAAUACACUGUGUUAAGAGGGGUAUGUCAUUGCUCUAAAAGAAAUGGAUCCAUACAUUACUAGUUCAUUAUCAAAUUAAAACAGUUAUCUGAAAAAGCUACACUGUAAAUAAUGAAAGACAAUACUGUGAAUUAAAGUCAUUUCCAUAACUUAAUAAAGUUUAUAAAUGAAAAUUGUCAACCCCAAAAAUAGUAGUGUAGCCUGCAUUUGAUUUCUUUGAACCUUACAUGCUUCACAUUGUAAAAGAAUGUGUUCAACUGUUUCAUAAUAAUGACAAAACCUAC